AGGAAUACCGGCGAGAAAUCGCCGACAAUACCGCAUUGGGUCCCUCGCAAGAGGGAGCAAAGCCGUAAGGCGCUGGGGGAGGGGUCUGCGUCCGAUUAGCUAGCUGGUGGGGUAAUGGCUCACCAGGGCGACGAUCGGUAGCUGGUCUGAGAGGAUGAUCAGCCACACUGGGAUUGAGAACGGCCCAGACUCCUACGGGGGGCAGCAGUGAGGAAUCUUCGGCAAUGGGGGCAACCCUGACCGAGCAACGCCGCGUGCAGGAAGAAGGUUUUCGGAUCGUAAACUGCUUUUCUGUGGGACGAGCAAGGACGGUACCACAGGAAGAAGCCCCGGCUAACUACGUG
rnacentral:rRNA from 1 species